UAAUACGAAGGGUGCUAGCGUUGUUCGGAAUCACUGGGCGUAAAGCGCGCGUAGGCGGCUUUGCAAGUCAGGGGUGAAAUGCCACAGCUCAACUGUGGAACUGCCUUUGAAACUGCAAAGCUAGAGUGUCGGAGGGGAUAGCGGAAUUCCUAAUGUAGAGGUGAAAUUCGUAGAUAUUAGGAGGAACACCGGUGGCGAAGGCGGCUAUCUGGACGACAACUGACGCUUAGGCGCGAAAGUGCGGGGAUCAAACAGGAUUAGAUACCCUGGUAGUCCGCACUGUAAACGAUGGAUGCUAGCCGUUGGGGGGUUACCUCUCAGUGGCGCAGCUAACGCGUUAAGCAUCCCGCCUGGGGAGUACGGUCGCAAGAUUA
rnacentral:rRNA from 1 species